UAGCUGUCUCUUAAGUUUUUCUCUGGCACUUCUCAGUCUUUGUGUCUGUGACCAUUUUGGAAGUGUUGGUGGCUUUGUCAGGAGUCGUUAUCCUAUGUACUAUGAGGCUGGUUUCCCCAUGCAGGAUGUGAAGCCACGAAGUUCCUACAGCUAUUAUGGGGCUGAUUUAUCAAAUCCCACAAGUCCUCAAAGAUCAAGGAGUAACACUUACAGUGCUGCACAGGUUAAGGGUGUGUAU